rnacentral:lncRNA from 1 species
GUUACUAGGCAACACUGCUUACGGUAAAAAUGACCUAUUGGUAAAUUGCUUGGAACUGAGAGGAACUUUAAACACCUGCCAAGCUUCAUCUGGAAGGAGAGGAGAGUCAUAGAGAACAAUUCUGGCUGUUCUCUUUGUGGACUGCCACGAGGACCCCAAAGAAAGAGAACAUCUGAUGCCUCCCUGCGGGAUGGAGAUCAGAGAUGGGGUCUGUGACUGACUGCAGAAGUCUUGGUAUUAAAUCUCUGGCAGCUAUCUUGAUUGAACCUACUCCCCUGGAGCAGCCACUUUUAAUCUUUCCUGGGUCACAGCCUCCGCUUUGAGAAUCUGAAGAAUCUAUGGACCUCUCACUAGAAAAGUGCAGAUGAACACAAACUCAAAAUUUUUCGUACAACUUAUUUUAUUGCUUUUAAAUCAAUUGCCAACACAGGCCAUAUAAAACCAGUCUUUGCAAGGAUAUCUGUAUGUCUCAUUUUUGGUUUUGUGCUGAAAUUUGCUACACCCAGGAAUAAAAUCCAAAGUAUGCAAUAAAACAAACCAAACUUUAUUUUUGACAAAAAGAUACCAAAGUAGUGAUGAGCGCUGGCUAUAGAGCCUCUGGCAUCAGAGAAGAGUUCUACAAGAAAGCCCACCUCUUCCACGUUGUUCUCCAGGGUGAGCCGGGGAAAACACAGGUGCUAGACAGAGAGAAGGCUCGGGUGCCAGCAGUAAGCGAAGAAUAACGUUGGCAGAAUUUAAUGAGGGUUUCCCAAAACAAUAACAUUUUAUACUUGUAUUUACUUAUAAAAAGGAAAAAUAUGGUUUCAGAAAUUGGGAGAUAUUAAGAUAAAUUUAAAAUUUUUGAAAAAUCAUACCAGACCUACUAUGUUCCUACUACUUAAUCAUUUGAAAUGUAUGAAGUUCAAAGUGGAACAAGUGCAUGCACUGCUCAGAGGUGGGCUAAUCAAGCCAAGAGAGUGAAAAUACUAGCAGAUUAUACAUAUGCGUUACCUUAAACUUGAAAUUUGAGCUUUACUAAUAUUCAGUAUGUGAGAUUGAUACCAGCAGCUUCUCUUGAUCCUGCGUCAGGCUGCUUCAGUCUCGUGGCAUUUAUGUGAAGUAUGCAGGAUCCCACAGACUGCCUCUCCUGACCUCCAGUCUACCUACAGGCAAUUUGAAAGGCACCUUUUCAGUUGUUGGAGGGGCAAGCACAGUUGUGGAAAUGUGCGAUUUCUCUACAGCAUCAUUCCAAUGUCCAUCCUCCAGCUUCUCGGUGACGAGAAGCACUGUGGUGGCAGCAGCAGCAGCAGAGGCUUCUGGAUCUGACUUCCUAAUUCUGGACUGCAGCUAUGGGUCUGUCCUACAGACUCUCCAGCAUCUGGAGGCACGUGCAACAGCAACGGAGGUGGCACGAGCUCUGGAUUCCAGCAGAGCUACCCUAGUGGGUUACUUCGGUAUUGGCACCCUAAAACCUGC